GUUUGUAAAAGCCCACCGCAACCAAAUAUCUCUCUCUCAAAUGCAAUCCCUAAAAUCGCCUCCAAAUUUUUCCGAUCCCUAAAAUCGCCAUGGCCAAAACCUCGUCGGCGUUUUCGGAUCGGAUCGCAUCUCUAAGCUCCUCUCUGAUCUGCAAUCUCGUUGAUUUCGUCGCCGAGCUACUCCCUGGUUUCUAGGGUUUGCCGUUCUCUCAAAUCUCCUCUCAGAUCUCAUCUUCGAGCUACUAAUCUCGGCGUCAUGCUACUCUCGUUGCCAUUCCAGUCUUGUUCGUCGUCGUCAAGCUACUAAUCUCGUCGUCAAGGUGCUGCGGAUAACAUCGAUUGCUGCAUUAAUCACGAUCCAUUGCUCUAGCUCGAUCCCUGAGAAAGAUGGAAAAAGCGCCCCAAGACUGUUCCCAAGGGUCAAUUUAGAGCUUUACUAAAGAUUUGGCAUUCUCAAAAUGCAAGGCAUUCCCAUGCUUGGCUACCUCAUUUCCGUUGCUCAAGGAUGAGGGACCUGUAUAUACAUGGUAAUUAGAUGUUUACAACUUGACAUUUGACCAUUCAAUUCUUUAUUGUAUUAGUCCACAUCAAUAUUGUGAUCAGCUUCUAUACUACAUCAAUGAAUGUGCCGAUAUUAUCCAGUGCUUGAAUAAGAAUUUGUGCUACUCCAGAAGGUAGUUCAAUUGAACAUCCUUUCUUCAGGUUCCGGAAGCUGCAGUAGCUAAUCAUUUUAGUACUGUGCUGCUCAAUAACUAUAACAGCCAAUCUAUUCUACAGAACCACUUGCACCGCAC